GAGACCCGGAGGCCGAGGCUGUAGGUGGGCUCCGCUGGGUAAAAGUUGCCGCAGCAGCUCUCCCUUGGCCCCAUCCCGAUUUAUUUUCCCCCCUUGCUUUCCGGGUCUCGGGAUCCCAAGUUUUGUAACUAACGGGAGCGAAUCCACACCCGAACAAAAUGUUUGCGAGUUUCAGGCGCCCUUAGUUGAAAGGCUGUAACGUUAUUAACAAGUCCGCUGUAUGCCAGCCAGGCGCCGUUGCAGGCGCUUUCUGUGGAUUGUCAUUUAUUUCUCACAGCAACCCUAGGAGGCUGUUAUCCUUGACAUCUGCAGCAGCCCCUCCAAGCUGUGGAGACCAGGUCAUCUGGAAUGCCCAUUUAUGUCAAUGGAAGAAAGAAAAAGGGGUCCCUCCCAUUCUCACCACUGCAUUCUCCCACCAACCCUGCUCCUGUCCCAGUUCCCACAACUUAAUUGUUGACAAUUUAACAGUGGGUUUCUGGAAACAGUGCUGCCUCCUUGAUGUUCCAACUACCAGAGUUAUUCCAACAGCAGGAAUUUCAAGCCAGGUAAGGGGAGCCAUGUCAGGCUGCCAGAUGGUGGGGAAGACAGGUGUGGGUGAGCUGGCUUCAGACUAAAGGAAGAGGGGAUCAAGUGUUGGAAUCACAGUUGAGAAAAGGAGUCAAGUGAACUUCAUUACCCAUUAUAGAGGCCUGUUAUAUCCUUUAGUGCCAUUUGGACUUGGAUUGAACCUGUGACAAAUCCUUUUCUUAUGCUUCUUCCAUCCCUGCUUCCAUAUUAUAUCCUUUCCCCUUCUAAAAUGGUAAUAAUGAGAAAUAACUAUUACUAAUUACCCUAGAACAUAAAUUUCAUUUAAGAUAUCACAAUCAGAUUAUCAUCUUCAGUUUUUCAGAGCCGCAAACUUCCCAUGAUUAUAUGCAGGUCGUACUAAAUGGACGGAUCUGGGAUCAAACUCAGGGCUUUCUGACUUUAAAAUUCUUGUUCUGCUACCCUCCAAGUGGCCUAGGGUGAUUUGCCCUAAACAGUUCACCUCUGUAUGAUGAUGCAUCCAUGCAAUGGGGCUUAUGGAAAGUGAAUGUGGAGACUCAGGGCCUUAAUCUUGAAGCAGGCUCUCUAGAAGGAAGCUUGCAGAAGGAGUGGGGACUCGAUGGGAUGCUGUUUUCUCAUUGUGUUUCAGUGAUGACUGAAAAUUUGUUGCCAACAUCUAUCUGGAAACAAUGUUUUGACGAUCCACCACCCCACCCCUCCAAACCACUUUCUUGCAUACACUCCAGAAUAAUAGACAGAAGAAUUUAAUACAUGUGAUGCUUUGCCUUCCAUUUACACUAUCAUAAAUUACAAAGUAUUGUUCACUUCACAAAAUAAAACCAUUUCCAGAUA
rnacentral:antisense_RNA from 1 species